rnacentral:rRNA from 1 species
UGCCAGCCGCCGCGGUAAUACGAAGGGAACUAGCGUUGUUCGGAAUUACUGGGCGUAAAGCGCACGUAGGCGGACUGGAAAGUUGGGGGUGAAAUCCCAGGGCUCAACCCUGGAACUGCCUCCAAAACUAUCAGUCUAGAGUUCGAGAGAGGUGAGUGGAAUUCCGAGUGUAGAGGUGAAAUGCGUAGAUAUAGGAAGGAACACCAGUGGCGAAGGCGGCUCACUGGCUCGAUACUGACGCUGAGGUGCGAAAGCGUGGGGAGCAAACCGGAUUAGAUA